rnacentral:lncRNA from 1 species
UGUUUGGGCUCCCUGCUUUUUUAGGCAGCUUAAUGAUUGGGAGGUGGUUCCUGUGGAGUGCUUUUUCCAAAGACUACAAGGGAGGAGGGUGUGUAGGGAUGAUAAGGUGUUUGGACAAAGUCAAAGGAUUGAACAAUUUUUGUUAAAUCCCACUACAAGGCUUUGGAGUCGGAAAGACAAGGCUCUUUUCUAGCUGGUGUAAUUCGGAAUUCAUGGGUGUUGUGGAGGGUGGGAUUCUUUGCUUGGGAGGCUACUUGGAAUAAGGCCUUAACCUUGGAUCAUAUGUAGAGGAGUGGGUAGUCUUUUGCUGGCAGAUGCUUCCUUUAUCUCUUAGAGGAAGAAUCCGUCGACCACAUCCUCAUGCAAUGCGAUAGGGCAAGGGAUUUAUGGUACUUAUUAUUUUUUCUGUUUGGGGUGUCGUUGGUGCUUUCCUUCUCAAUCAGAGUGACAUUGUUAGGAUGACACAAUUCUUUUUUGAGUAAAAAGAGAAAUAAAGUGUAACGGAUUGCUUUUUUAUGCCUUUUCUAGACAAUGUGGAAGGAAAGAAAUAGUAGGGCGUUUGAAAAUGAGGAGCAUUUGGUCUAAAGGCUUAAACUUUCUUUCCUUUAUAAUCUUUGGGUGUGGGCUAAGGUGUAUAUAGUCUAUUGUUGAUUUUGUGGAUUGGUUGGACUCUGAUUGAGGGGGGGGGGGGGGGGGGGGGGGGGGGGGGGGCUUUUUUUUUUUUCCCCCCCUUUUUUUGGGGGGGCUUGAGGGCCUUUUUUUUUUUUUUUAAAAAAAAAAAAAAACCAAACCCCUUUUCCCCAAAAAAAAUUGCCCGCUUCGGAAAAUGUAAUAAAUCCCCCCCUUUUCAGGGGGGGAAACCCCCCCCCCCUUUCCCCCGGGGNNNNNNNNNNNNNNNNNNNNNNNNNNNNNNNNNNNNNNNNNNNNNNNNNNNNNNNNNNNNNNNNNNNNNNNNNNNNNNNNNNNNNNNNNNNNNNNNNNNNGGGGGGGGGGGGGUUGUUUUUUGUUGUUCCCCUUAUUUUUUGUGGUGCUUUAAGGCAUCUUUUAUAUCCUUUAAAAAUAAAAAAAAAGCCAAAGCCUAUUACCACAGAAAAGUUCAAGCAUUGCUUGAACUUGAUUAAUGUCUCCAGUUUCUAGAUGGGAGAUACCCCAACCUAUUGUCCCAGGUGGAGUUAUAAGCUAUGUUUCUUGUCUCCUAAGGGGGGAGUGAAUAUUUACCAAGGUGGAGAUUGUUGUAGUAUGUGGCUCAUAUUUGAGUGAAAAGACAUAUGGAGAAAAAGGAGCAAAUGCUGGAGUGAAGCUUCACUCCGACAUUUGCCAUUUAGGCUUGUACUUCUUUUGUUGUGGGCCGAACGAUAGGUUGGGGGGGUUUAGAGGUAUUUUUGGAAUUUCAUUCCUAAGGGUUAGUAUAAAUACCCUUUUUUAUGUAACCCUAAUUUUAACAUAGUGAAAAUCCUCUUUCCCUGUUCCCGUGGACGUAGGCAAUUAGCUGAACCACGUUAAAUCUCCGUGUUCUUCUUUCUCGUUUUUCUAUUUUUCGCUAUUAAUUGUUGCACGGAUUCCAACAUGGAUUACUCAGCAUUACAAAUUCUCUUGAAAUUUGCAAAUAAUAAUCAUUUAUAUAGCUUUUGGUUCAAAACAUGCCAAGAAACUUACUCAAUUUUGGCUGCUCAAUACUAACCUUAUAGGUUGGGCAUGUGUUUUAUAUUUUGUAAUACACUACUCCAGUGUAUUUUUUAUUUUUUAUUUUUUUUAAAUCAUAUUGCGGCAACCUUAUAUAUUUAUGUAUUUAUGUGCACAUUGUAAUCCCAAAUUUUGAUUGGUUAAAAAACAGGUUGGUUCUGGUGUUGGUUUGGUUGGCAUUUGUCUGGCCCAUGUGAAAGCCUCCAAGGUACUUUAUUCAAAAUUUAUGCUUAUUGUUAGAAGGAAAGCCAAAGUCUUCUCCUUCUACAGCAGCAUUGCUAUAUGAGAAAUAUCUAAAAGAAUCUUGUUCCCUUCCCUCUUUUCUAACAUAUUUCUUUCCCUUGUCCAUGCAUCAUUACUAUGAGCUCUCACAAGUAUGAAGGUGUUUUCUUGCAUGUUCUAUAAUUGGAGAAAUUGGAGAGAAAUUAUGCUAAUUCAUAGGAGUUGAUCUGAAUGCAUUUCACAUCUCAUCAAUUAUAACCAUUCCAUGAUGGACUGCCUGUUUUGGUUGGGUGCAAGGUGGUAGGAUAUUAUAAUCAACCUGAUAUCCUGAGCUUUUAACUGUAAAUAAUAGUUUUUUCAAAUGAAGUGCCAUAAUAUUUUGGUUGACUCAAUUAUGUAGUUAAAUUGGAUUUUGGGGUGAUGAUCCUGUUCUAGAUGUCCAAUCAGGUGUUUAACUGCCUUUACUGAAUUUGCAGAGGUGCAUGGAAAUGUAGGAUAGUUUUAGGCGUCAUAGCUGAAACUUUCUUGAAGUAACAAGUUCAAGAAUGCAAGACAUUGAAUAACUCAAAACAGAUUCCAUAUUGAGGUAAAUUACUCAUGAAGCUAGCAGUUGGAUUCUGUAUUACAUUGUAAACAUUUAUUUAGUAAACUCAACUUAGGAUACAAAAAUGCUUCUUGAUGUCAAUGUAGAAAGAAUUUAAUAAAGAAUAUGCAUUGAACAUGUUUUCUAAGAACCCAACCCAUGCACCCAAUAUCUAUAAGUGAAAAUGUUAAUCACAAUAAUGGACUACACCUAGAGGGGGGUGAAUAGGUGUUGUAGAACAAUUUAAAAAUUCUCCCAACAAAGAUUACCUAACCUUAGACUUUCUCAAUGUCAAGAAACUUCUCUUCCAACAACUAUUCAACAAAGCAAAACAUCCACAAGCAAGAUUGUAUGCACUAACACUCUCCCAACAAUUUAUAAAUGUAAUACACAUGCAAAUGCUUCAAGAAUCCUCAAAAAUAAAUCAAAAGAACAAUUAUCUCCUCAACUCAUAUCAAUUUACUCCAUGAUAUCAUUAACCAAAAUGAGCAAAAAAAUUAUUAAGGAUAUUCCAUGGAUCAUCACACUUAUAUCACCUCAUAUUUCUUCCAUUCAACAUAUAUGCCCAAGUAAUCAAUGAUAUCAAAAACAAAAAUUAAAUCAAAGUGUAGUGAGAGAAAGAGACGAUUAACACCGGAUUUUAACGUGGAAAACCUCCGAAGAGAUCAAAAACCACGGGCCUACCACUGAUUGAAAAACUCCACUAUGAAGAAUAAAAACCAAGUACAAGGUUUUACCUAGCUUAAUGUCACGGACUUAGUCGUUCACUAAGCUCGUGCGGCACUUAGACAAGCCAAGACGCUUGAUCUUGCUAAGUCAGCCUUGCUCCCCAACGCUUAGCUUGCUAAGCUAAGACACUCGCGACUCAAAAGCUUAAGAAGCUUGGUAGGCAACUCCUUAAAGAAUGGAAGCUCUAUUAUCUCAAGAAAGCCUUUACAAGUGCUUGGAUGCUCACUUGCUUGGUGCCUUGGCCAAAUGAGG